UCAGUCAGCGCAGCGUAAUAAUAGAAACUAACCAGGAUUCCCUUAGUAACGCCGAGUGAACUGGGAUGCCAAUAUAUAAUAUGUACCUCGCGUGCAUAAAUUAGCCCGUCGAUACUAUCCUAGCGUAUGUCACCGGUCUUCGGGUCGGUACUCAAAUACGCGGGAAUUGUAGCAUCGUAAUAAUUAAAAAUAUACAGCACACACACACACACACACACAUAAGAACCCACGCCAACCUGCGUACACCACUUGUAAACACACAGCGUCUCCACGUUGGAAAGCAAGUAUAUAUCCUCUUUGGAUAUGCCAUAGAGUGUGACAGCCACGUUUCACCCAUAUGAUAGUUACGCACACACACACACAUACACCAAUGGCGCGGCGUGCGAGUGCACAACGUAUAUAUACUAUAACCUGAGUCGAGUUAUUUGGGACUAUAGCUCUAAUAGUUUGGUUGGUGGUAAUGACACAUCAAAGGCUAAAUAUUGGUUAGUCGAUGCAUAUUGCGGAGACCGAUAGCAUACAAGUACCGUAAGGGAACGAUGAAAAGCACCCUAUUGAGUUCACGGCGCAGACUCGACAUUCGUGUCUUGUCCAGCGCCCAACAACUACAGUGGGAGUGAAAGAGAGAGU
rnacentral:rRNA from 1 species